rnacentral:rRNA from 1 species
GACAGAGGGUGCAAACGUUGUUCGGAUUUACUGGGCGUAAAGCGCGUGUAGGCGGCUUGGCAAGUCGGAUGUGAAAGCCCACGGCUCAACCGAGGAAGUGCGUUCGAAACUGCAGAGCUUGAGUACCGGAGAGGGUGGCGGAAUUCCCCAAGUAGAGGUGAAAUUCGUAGAUAUUGGGAAGAACACCAGUGGGCGAAGGCGGCUAACUGGUCCGGUACUGACGCUGAGGUGCGAAAGCGUGGGGAGCAAACCGG